GAUGAACGCUGGCGGCGUGCCUAACACAUGCAAGUCGAGCGAUUCUCUUCGGAGAAGAGCGGCGGACGGGUGAGUAACGCGUGGGUAACCUGCCCUGUACACACGGAUAACAUACCGAAAGGUAUGCUAAUACGAGAUAAUAUACUUUUAUCGCAUGGUAGAAGUAUCAAAGCUCCGGCGGUACAGGAUGGACCCGCGUCUGAUUAGCUAGUUGGUAAGGUAACGGCUUACCAAGGCGACGAUCAGUAGCCGACCUGAGAGGGUGAUCGGCCACAUUGGAACUGAGACACGGUCCAAACUCCUACGGGAGGCAGCAGUGGGGAAUAUUGCACAAUGGGCGAAAGCCUGAUGCAGCAACGCCGCGUGAGCGAUGAAGGCCUUCGGUCGUAAGCUCUGUCCUCAAGGAAGAUAAUGACGGUACUUGAGGAGGAAGCCCGGCGUAACUACGUGCCAGCAGCCGCGGUAACAUACUCGUA
rnacentral:rRNA from 1 species